rnacentral:rRNA from 1 species
GACGAACGCUGGCGGCGUGCUUAACACAUGCAAGUCGAACGGAAAGACCCUGCUUUUGUGGGGUGCUCGAGUGGCGAACGGGUGAGUAACACGUGAGUAACCUGCCCUUGACUUUGGGAUAACUUCAGGAAACUGGGGCUAAUACCGGAUAGGAGCUCCUGCUGCAUGGUGGGGGUUGGAAAGUUUCGGCGGUUGGGGAUGGACUCGCGGCUUAUCAGCUUGUUGGUGGGGUAGUGGCUUACCAAGGCUUUGACGGGUAGCCGGCCUGAGAGGGUGACCGGCCACAUUGGGACUGAGAUACGGCCCAGACUCCCACGGGAGGCAGCAGUGGGGAAUAUUGCACAAUGGGCGGAAGCCUGAUGCAGCAACGCCGCGUGCGGGAUGACGGCCUUCGGGUUGUAAACCGCUUUCGCCUGUGACGAAGCGUGAGUGACGGUAAUGGGUAAAGAAGCACCGGCUAACUACGUG